rnacentral:rRNA from 1 species
UUCGACACACUAUCAUUAACUGAAUCCAUAGGUUAAUGAGGCGAACCGGGGGAACUGAAACAUCUAAGUACCCCGAGGAAAAGAAAUCAACCGAGAUUCCCCCAGUAGCGGCGAGCGAACGGGGAGCAGCCCAGAGCCUGAAUCAGUGUGUGUGUUAGUGGAAGCGUCUGGAAAGGCGCGCGAUACAGGGUGACAGCCCCGUACACAAAAAUGCACAUGCUGUGAGCUCGAUGAGUAGGGCGGGACACGUGGUAUCCUGUCUGAAUAUGGGGGGACCAUCCUCCAAGGCUAAAUACUCCUGACUGACCGAUAGUGAACCAGUACCGUGAGGGAAAGGCGAAAAGAACCCCGGCGAGGGGAGUGAAAAAGAACCUGAAACCGUGUACGUACA